rnacentral:rRNA from 1 species
UGGGGAAUAUUGGACAAUGGGCGCAAGCCUGAUCCAGCCAUGCCGCGUGAGUGAUGAAGGCCCUAUGGUUGUAAAGCUCUUUCACCGGUGAAGAUAAUGACGGUAACCGGAGAAGAAGCCCCGGCUAACUUCGUGCCAGCAGCCGCGGUAAUACGAAGGGGGCUAGCGUUGUUCGGAUUUACUGGGCGUAAAGCGCACGUAGGCGGACUAUUAAGUCAGGGGUGAAAUCCCGGGGCUCAACCCCGGAACUGCCUUUGAUACUGGUAGUCUUGAGUUCGAGAGAGGUGAGUGGAAUUCCGAGUGUAGAGGUGAAAUUCGUAGAUAUUCGGAGGAACACCAGUGGCGAAGGCGGCUCACUGGCUCGAUACUGACGCUGAGGUGCGAAAGCGUGGGGAGCAAACAGG